rnacentral:rRNA from 1 species
UACAGGGGGGGCAAGCGUUGUUCGGAAUUACUGGGCGUAAAGCGCACGUAGGCGGCUUUGUAAGUUAGAGGUGAAAGCCCAGGGCUUAACCCUGGAAUUGCCUUUAAGACUGCAUCGCUAGAAUUGUGGAGAGGUAAGUGGAAUUCCGAGUGUAGAGGUGAAAUUCGUAGAUAUUCGGAAGAACACCAGUGGCGAAGGCGACUUACUGGACACAUAUUGACGCUGAGGUGCGAAAGCGUGGGGAGCAAACAGG